GCGCUCGUUGUUUAAUGGUAGAAUGCGACGUUGCCAACGUCGUGGCCCGGGUCCGAUUCCCGGCGGGCGCA
rnacentral:tRNA from 1 species